GUAGGUGAACCUGCGGAAGGAUCAUUAACACUUUUUUAAUGAACAAUCCAAAACCUUUUUUUGGAUCAACCCAACCAUUUUGCGAACCAAUUUGUUUAUUUUCACUUUUCCACAUUUUUUUCUAAACUCAAUCUAAAUUAUCUUGUUUUUCUGUCUGACAAUCAUUUCUUGAUCCACCUCGUGUGGGCUCUAAGAAAAGAAAGAUCUAACAUAAAUACAACUCUUAACAACGGAUAUCUUGGCUCUC
rnacentral:misc_RNA from 1 species